AUGGUGGGGUGGACCAGAAGGUGGGAGAAAAGAAGCCUGAGAAACCUCAGCAAGCCAGAGCAGGGGUGGGUGGGGGUUGGAGGUGUUUUUCUAGUAAUGAAGGUAGAAGUUCCAGUUGCAGGGCUAAAAAGACAUCAGUCAAAGAAGCAGCUGCAGACCUCCUAACAAAGUCCACAAAGACCUCCAAGUGUGAAUUUGCUGUAGGCAGUCAGAUGACAAAGAAAGUGUCAACCCUCUCCAUCAGACUUGGAUGAAGCAAUCAUAAGGAAGUGAUUCUGUCUCUCACUCCAAAAACACUUUCAGUAGCAGCAGCGCUCCAGGAAGAUGAAGAUAGUGAACCAGAAGACAUGCCUGCAGAAGCAAAGAUUGGGUUGAAGAACAUUGAGAAGGACACACCAACAUCAGCUGCACCAAACCCCUUUAAUAAAGAAAAGCGUAGCUUUCCUGAUAUCCAGAAGUGAUGGGAGCAGAAUAUAAAACUUCAUCUUGGAAAUGUACACAGCCAA
rnacentral:lncRNA from 1 species